GUUCAUCAAGAAGGCCAAAAACUAAAAUUCAAGAGUGAAGUUCAAGAAAGAAGAGAAUCUGAAGGUAUACAGAUGACAUCACAAGCCCACGCCGACACUGAACAAGAACCUAAGCCAGCGUAAAUUAAUAACAGCUUCAAUGUCCCCAUGGGAGCCUAUUAACCAUGAUAAGGUGCAUGCCCAGGAGGAGGAACACCUCCAGGCAGCAUGGUUGAUGGAUGAAAAGGCUGACUUACAGUAAAAGGUUGACUACCAGUAGCAAUGUGAUUGGUCUGCUGUGACGAUCCAAUAGGAUGUACUCCAGUUGCAUAAGCUGGUGGAGCAUAUGAAUGACCUGGAUAUCCGGUAGGAGCCGAUGGAAAGGUUGAUCCUCCACCCUGCAAAUUUGGAUUCCAUGCAGGUGGUGGUGCUUGGCCAGGAACAGCACCAGUAGCGGCAUAGCCAGCUGAUGACUGCACUGGACCAGACUGAGGAUUAUGCCAAACAGCUGGUGCGGCAUGGACUGCAGAUGCUUGUUGCAUCGCAAGCAAACUUGAUUCUGGAACUGUGUAGUCUCUACUUUUAUCACUGUAUGCCUGAUUAGACACAAUUGAAUAAUUAAUUCAAGCUAAGAGGUCAAAUGAAAAAGAUGCAGGAAGCAACAAGUGUCAAGAAGCAUACUUUCAGUAAUAGAAUCUUAAAAUAUGGUGUCGACUCUUU
rnacentral:misc_RNA from 1 species